rnacentral:pre_miRNA from 1 species
ACAACAUUCGGACCGUCGCGACGGUCAGCCGAGCAAUUUCACCCGCUCGGUGGAAGAUCUUCCCUAUGUUGU